rnacentral:rRNA from 1 species
GCAUACGGACCUGGANACGCCGAUCUCGUCUGAUCUCGGAAGCUAAGCAGGGUCGGGCCCGGUUAGUACUUGGAUGGGAGACCGCCUGGGAAUACCGGGUGCU